GGUUGUGGCUCAGUGGUAGAGCACUUGUUUUACAAGUAUAAGGCACUGGGUUCAAUCUUCAGCACCA
rnacentral:tRNA from 1 species